AUCAUUAAUAACAAAUUCACUAACAAUGCCACUAGCGACGACCAUUCUGUACUGAUGGCUUGCUCUAGGCCUGUGCUAAGCACUUUAUGUAAAUUUAAUUCUCGAGGCUCAGAGAGGGGAACAGCAACAGCAGAAUGAGCCUCACCUCGCACCAGGAGCCAGACGGAUGCCCUUGUAACCCCAUUGGCGUUGCUGGCCACACACUGGUACCUCCCGCCAUCUGUGGGGAUGAUGCCACUGAUCUCCAGGGACAGGUCAGCCAGCUGGGCAACUCGGCCUGUCGAGGCCGGCAGGACUCGCCAGUCCCGGACCCACGUCAGGCAUCACCCCCGUGGGAGGUCACUUCUCCCACCACCAUUAUACACCCGCCAGGGGCUGCACGGUACACGCGUGCUCUCCAAAUAACAGCCAGUGCAACGUGCAACAAGCCGGACACCCAUCUUCAUGCCUCCAAGCUGAAGAUGCCACGCUGAGGAAUAAAGCCUUGGAAGUCUCCAGCCAGAGGAAGAGAGUAACGUGUUCAAAACAAUUCUCUGUACCAACAGCAAGACUAUUUAUAGCAGCCAAAUAUGCCCCCAAGGAGGAAAGUGCUAAGCAAACUGCUAUCUGGAUAGCAAAAAGCCACAAGAAGUGGCAAGAUCCGAGACUGCUGAACAUAGAAAAAAAAACUAAAAGGAAGUAAAUCAAAUGGCAGAAUGGAGGGAUUACAAGUUAUUUUGAUCUUCUCUUGGACUGUUUAUAUUUUUCCAGCCUUCCUACAAAGAGCAUGUGUAGUUUCUGGCUAUGUAGAGUGACUGAUCUUUCCACGCU